AUCUGAUCUCGCGAAGGUGGCAAAUGCAAAAAACAACACACCCACUGGAUAUUUUGCAAUUUCUUUCUUUGGUUGUGAAAAAGAAAACACAACACAACACAAAAAAUUAAGAGUACUCAUCUCGGCCAGCGAGAGAGGAAGCACAGUCUUAAUCACAGCCACUGUCGUUGUCAGCAGGUAAAAAUAUGGAAAAAAUCACUUAUUUGGGGGCGCCAAGAAGAGGAGGUGAAAGCGGAAUCCCACAUAACGCUUGCAACUCGUAAUUACCUAAUCUACCCCCAUACCGAAUUUUAUUACAAUCGGCCCAGCCGUUUCGGAGGAGUUCAUGUGCCACAGACAAACUGACAAACUUUCAGCUUUAAAUAUAUAAUUAAUAUUACUUCUACACCAAAAAAAAUUAUAAUAAGGAAAUAUGUAUUUUACGAUAAGAACCUCUAUAAAAUAAAAGAUUUAUUACGAA